AUGAACGCUAGCUACAGGCUUAACACAUGCAAGUCGAGGGGCAGCGAUGAAGAAAGCUUGCUUUCUUCAGGCGGCGACCGGCGCACGGGUGAGUAACGCGUAUCGAACCUGCCUCAUACUCAGGAAUAGCCUUGCGAAAGUAAGAUUAAUGCCCGAUGUUAUUAGGAUAUCACAUGAUGUUUUAAUUAAAGAUUUAUCGGUAUGAGAUGGCGAUGCGUCCCAUUAGCUUGUUGGCGGGGUAACGGCCCACCAAGGCAUCGAUGGGUAGGGGUUCUGAGAGGAAGGUCCCCCACAUUGGAACUGAGACACGGUCCAAACUCCUACGGGAGGCAGCAGUGAGGAAUAUUGGUCAAUGGACGCAAGUCUGAACCAGCCAAGUAGCGUGCAGGAAGACGGCCCUCUGGGUUGUAAACUGCUUUUAGUUGGGAAUAAAGUGCAUCACGUGUGAUGUUUUGUAUGUACCAUCAGAAAAAGGACCGGCUAAUUCCGUGCCAGCAGCCGCGGUAAUACGGAAGGUCCAGGCGUUAUCCGGAUUUAUUGGGUUUAAAGGGAGCGCAGGCGGACCUUUAAGUCAGCUGUGAAAUACGGCGGCUCAACCGUCGAACUGCAGUUGAUACUGGAGGUCUUGAGUGCACACAGGGAUACUGGAAUUCAUGGUGUAGCGGUGAAAUGCUCAGAUAUCAUGAAGAACUCCGAUCGCGAAGGCAGGUAUCCGGGGUGCAACUGACGCUGAGGCUCGAAAGUGCGGGUAUCAAACAGGAUUAGAUACCCUGGUAGUCCGCACAGUAAACGAUGAAUACUCGCGAUUUGCGAUACACAGUAAGUCGCCAAGCGAAAGCGUUAAGUAUUCCACCUGGGGAGUACGCCGGCAACGGUGCAACUCA
rnacentral:rRNA from 2 species